CGAUUACGCAAUGACGUGGUUUAAACUGGUUCACGUUCGAAAUGUGUUCAAAAGAAUCGAUUCGCAGGACGUCCUUCCCAAUGGUUUGACUAGUUUUACUACCACGCGGUGAGGAAAUCUACUCGUUACAGACGUUGAUUAGUGGAAGUGGAAACACUAAAGCAAAUAAAGGAGGAAGCGCUGCUAAAGUGGAGUGAGAAGGAGGAGCUGCAUACCAUCUUGACGUGCCAUAUACGGACUUUGCUCUCACUUCACCUGUUUUCAUUCACUCUUUCUGCAUCGCCAGAAUCAAGCACAAAUACAGGCUCCAACGCGAUACUGCUGCAGUAUGGAUAAUAUUCAGAAUGCUAAGAGUGAGACAGAGGAGGUGAAAGUUGCAAUGCUGGAAAAUGAAAAUAAAGCAGAACAACCCAAAGAUGUCAAUCAAAAACCUGAAAAGCCUCAGUGCACCAGGAAAAAAUGUAAGGAAUCUGCUGUGAACCAGAAGAUGGAGUACCUGCGGGCUAAUAAAGGACUCAUAGCCACUGUAUUGAUUUCAGCUGCUCUUAUAUUUGCUGUUGUGGUUGCCAUGCUUGCCACUACAGAUGGGCACAGUCACUCAGCGCACAACACAAAACACAGUGUGCACGUGCAUAAUGUCACAGAAAUGCCAUAGCAAUAGCUGCAGCAGACUAGAAGGAUAAAUCAGUUUGACCAGCACUGUUAUUUUCUUUAUUUAAAAAAAAGUCUUUUCAUUUUAGACAGUUUCUGAUAUUGAUUAUGUUUUAUGUUAUAAAGUGUCAUCUGAAUAUGACAUUUUCCAGCAUAAUUAAAGGUGUAGUUCUGCCAAAAAUGAAAAUUUGUAUUGUUUACUUACCCUCAUGUUGUUCCAAACCUGUAUUAUUUUUUUAUGUUAUAUGAUAAAUAUCUUUGUCCAUUCAGUGAAAGUCCAAUGGGGUCCAAAACAACAUUGGACCCUACUGACAAUUCUUCUUUUGUGAUCCACAGAACAAAGAAAGUCAGGUUUGGAAUGGCUUUGAGAGUGAGUCUGACAGAAUUUUCAUUUUUUAUGUGAACUUUCCCUUUAGGAAUGCAUGUUUAACUCAAUGUUACUGUACCAAUCUGCUGUUGUGUUCACUAAAGCUCAUUAGUUUCACUUUGUCAUAUAAACAUGACUUGGCAGGAAUGGCUAUCAAGAAAAACACAUUCCCCAUGAAAACUGUGCUGAUAGUUUGGUAUGUAAACACAAGGAGAUGUGAUUAAAAGCAAGGGCAUUUUCUGAGGUCAAGUGCACGAUAUCCUUUUUGUUCUACGAAGUGACAAAAGGAGCACAAAUGCCAUUUUUGUUUUUGCUGUGGUUAGUAGUCAUCUUAAACACAUGCUUUUUGUUUGAGGCUAAAGAUUUUAUAUAAAAAAGCACUUUCUUUUUCACAACCAGAUUUUGUAUGUUGGAAACAAGCCAGCUCAAGCUGUCAUUAUGUUUUGUUCAAAAAUUCUUUGUAAAUUCCUCAAAAAUAAAUGCAGAAAUCUAUUAUAAUCUGCUGUUAUCAUUGAAUCAGCUUUAGUGCUUCAUGUUUUCUUGAGGUUUUUUUUGAGUUGUCAAAUCAGUUCACAUUCAAACAGCUAAACAAAUUGAUGGUCAAAGGGAUUCAGGCAGCUGAGUCUAGUUGCUUCAUAAGACGCUUUCUUUACUUGAAUUGAAUCAAACUGAACUAUUGUCUUCUGUGGCGCUGCUCUACAGCUGAAUCACAUCUUUCAACAUCAGACUGAACUCAAUCAACAUUGAACUGGCUAAAGCUGAGUAAAAGAACUCCUUAUAGUUGAACUGUACUUGUUUCAAAAUUUGAUUUAAUUCACACUGUUACCACACUGAGCCAAGACUAAACUGACUUGAUAUGAACAAUGACACUGUUGUAUUUUUGAGCUGCUUUACUGCAGAAUGUCUCCAUAGUUGAGUUUCCAUAAUUGAUUCUGCUAUUUUUCCUGUUUAUCACUGUAAAGCUGCUUUGACACAAUAUGUACACAAAUAAAGG
ensembl:lncRNA